rnacentral:rRNA from 13 species
ACCUGGUUGAUUCUGCCAGUAGUCAUACGCUCGUCUCAAAGAUUAAGCCAUGCAUGUGCAAGUAUAAAUAUCAUACAUUGAAACUGCGAACGGCUCAUUAUAUCAGUUUUCGUUUAUUUGAUAGUCCCUUACUACUUGGAUAACCGUAGUAAUUCUAGAGCUAAUACAUGCGUCAACACUCUUCUGGAGUGGUAUUUAUUAGAUUGAAACCAACCCUUUCGAGGUGAUGUGGUGAUUCAUAAUAAGAUUGCGGAUCGCAUGCCUUUGGCGGCGAUGGAUCAUUCAAGAUUCUGCCCUAUCAACUUUGGACGGUACGCUAUUGGCCUACCGUGGUGAUGACGGGUAACGGGGGAUUAGGGUUUGAUUCCGGAGAGGGGGCCUGAGAGACGGCCACCACAUCCAAGGAAGGCAGCAGGCGCGUAAAUUACCCAAUUUCGACACGAAGAGGUAGUGACAAUAAAUAACAAUGCCGGGCCUUUCUAGGUCUGGCAAUUGGAAUGAGAACAAUUUAAAUCUCUUAUCGAGGAUCAAUUGGAGGGCAAGUCUGGUGCCAGCAGCCGCGGUAAUUCCAGCUCCAAUAGCGUAUACUAAUGUUGUUGCAGUUAAAAAGUUCGUAGUUGGAUUUUUGGCAGACGUUGGCGGCCUGACACUUAGUGUUUGUGCUUGCCGACGUCGCCAUCCUUGGGUGGAACCUGUGUGGCAUUCAGUUGUCGUGCAGGGGAUGCCCAUCAUUUACUGUGAGAAAAUUAGAGUGUUCAAAGCAGGCUUAUGCCGUUGAAUAUCUUAGCAUGGAAUAAUAAGAUAGGGCCUUGGUACUAUUUUGUUGGUUUGCGCACUAAGGUAAUGAUUAAGGAGAACAGUUGGGGGCAUUCGUAUUCCAUUGUCAGAGGUG